GGCCUGAUUCAUUUGGCCCCGGCACUGAUUGUUCCCAGGUGUGAAUCCUUGUGGGAUGUUUCCUUUCUUGUUUUUCAAAGUCCUUAAUAUGUUUUUAGUUGUCCAACUGGCCACUUUCAUGUAUACCUUCUGCCAAAUCUCAGGGACUGUAACACCCAAAAAGUUGGAAUGUGGAACUGUCAUCCAGGUAGACUCUGGGCAGGAUGGAGUCCUACAUUGCUCUGUGAUUCUUGGUGGUGAAUCAUCUCGGGACGUGAUGAUAGAGCAGGUGGUGUGGUGGAAGAAGGACCAGAAUCACCAUCGCACCCAUCCCCCAGUUUUCCAAUACAGCUUAGAUGGUCAACAACCCAAUGAUCCCAGAUUUCUGCCAAGUCAAAGAUAUCAGCUCGCAGGGUCAUUUGGCGUUGAGGAAGAGGGCGACUUGUCCCUGUUGGUCAGAAAAGCCCAGCCUGCAGAUGAAGGUCUGUAUGAGUGUGUGGUGGCCACCAACCUUGGACAGUGGAAUUGUACAAUCAUCCUAGAGGUUACAGGACCAAUGCUUAAGGAUCCUGAGGACCAAAAUGAGAUGCCCAAGAGGAACUUGAUGUGGUUGGCAGCUGUAUUUGUGGUUGUAGGCUCUCUUGCUUCUGGACUGUUGCUUCUCAAGCUGUUUCAAACCACAACACCCUGACGAUGUCUGUACCCAAGAUUACGCUGGUUAUGGCUACAGCCAGAUGACUGGAUAUGACUGCACUGCCUGAUAUGGCUGGAAGAGGGAGCAAUCUGGUGCAACAAGCCAAUUCUGGUUCUUUUCAGAACUUACCGUUUGACCAGUCAGAAUCUUGUGAAAAGUCAAAUGUAAAAUAUCAAUGCAAUUUACAUCACCAGAUCGUAUAAACCAAACCAGAUAUUUUUUAGCAUUUAUUGUGAUAUUGUGAAUAAAACCUGAAGUUAGGUUUGGGACAUUGGUUAUGGGAUCUUUGGAAGAAUAUGCACAUUGUCAGGGUUACACAAUUAUUUGUAAUACUAUAAAUGCGCUCAAACUACAUAUGAAAAGUAUUUUUUUAUCUUUAUCUUCUAUGUACAAACUCUCCUCUCUGUACCCCAGUAUUUCUUUGAAAUAUUAUUAUAACACCAUAAUGGGCCACAUAGUGUGGAAAACCAUAAUUAUACACUUCCCUUUGAUUUAAAAAAGUAUAUGACCUCUACAUUUAUCUGCUCAAUAUAUUAUAGUCAAAUAAAACCGAUGUCACCUUAAAGUAACUAAUUUGUCAGUGUUUUAUAAUAAAGGUCAAAACUAAUAGUUUUUCCUAUGUAAGGUAGUUAAAUAACAUCUCAGGGGUUUGAAUAGUUUUUUUGUCCCAAGAUAC